rnacentral:rRNA from 1 species
UACGUUGGGCGCAAGCGUUGUCCGGAAUUAUUGGGCGUAAAGAGCUCGUAGGCGGCUUGUCACGUCGGGUGUGAAAGCCCGGGGCUUAACCCCGGGUCUGCAUUCGAUACGGGCUAGCUAGAGUGUGGUAGGGGAGAUCGGAAUUCCUGGUGUAGCGGUGAAAUGCGCAGAUAUCAGGAGGAACACCGGUGGCGAAGGCGGAUCUCUGGGCCAUUACUGACGCUGAGGAGCGAAAGCGUGGGGAGCAAACAGG